UACAGAGGUCUCAAGCGUUGUUCGGAUUCAUUGGGCGUAAAGGGCGCGUAGGCGGCGGGGUAAGUCGGGUGUGAAAUCUCAGAGCUCAACUCUGAAACUGCACUCGAUACUGCUUUGCUAGAGGACUGGAGAGGAGAUUGGAAUUCACGGUGUAGCAGUGAAAUGCGUAGAUAUCGUGAGGAAGACCAGUGGCGAAGGCGGAUCUCUGGACAACUCCUGACACUGAGGCACGAAAGCUAGGGGAGCAAACAGG
rnacentral:rRNA from 1 species